UGAAAGCGUUCCACAGGGAUGCUGGCCCAUGUUGACUCUACAAGGUGUCUAAAGUGUUCCACAGGGAUGCUGGCCCAUGUUGACUCUACAAGGUGUUGAAAGCGUUCCACAGGGAUGCUGGCCCAUGUUGACUCUACAAGGUGUUGAAAGCGUUCCACAGGGAUGCUGGCCCAUGUUGACUCUACAAGGUGUCUAAAGCGUUCCACAGGGAUGCUGGCCCAUGUUGACUCUACAAGGUGUUGAAAGCGUUCCACAGGGAUGCUGGCCCCAUGUUGACUCUACAAGGUGUUGAAAGCGUUCCACAGGGAUGCUGGCCCAUGUUGACUCUACAAGGUGUUGAAAGCGUUCCACAGGGAUGCUGGCCCAUGUUGACUCUACAAGGUGUCUAAAGCGUUCCACAGGGAUGCUGGCCCAUGUUGACUCUACAAGGUGUUGAAAGCGUUCCACAGGGAUGCUGACCCAUGUUGACUCUACAAGGUGUUGAAAGCGUUCCACAGGGAUGCUGGUCCAUGUUGACUCUACAAGGUGUUGAAAGCGUUCCACAGGGAUGCUGGCCCAUGUUGACUCUACAAGGUGUCUAAAGCGUUCCACAGGGAUGCUGGCCCAUGUUGACUCUACAAGGUGUCUAAAGCGUUCCACAGGGAUGCUGGCCCAUGUUGACUCUACAAGGUGUCUAAAGCGUUCCACAGGGAUGCUGGCCCAUGUUGACUCUACAAGGUGUUGAAAGCGUUCCACAGGGAUGCUGGCCCAUGUUGACUCUACAAGGUGUCUAAAGCGUUCCACAGGGAUGCUGGCCCAUGUUGACUCUACAAGGUGUUGAAAGCGUUCCACAGGGAUGCUGGCCCAUGUUGACUCUACAAGGUGUUGAAAGCGUUCCACAGGGAUGCUGGCCCAUGUUGACUCUACAAGGUGUCUAAAGCGUUCCACAGGGAUGCUGGCCCAUGUUGACUCUACAAGGUGUUGAAAGCGUUCCACAGGGAUGCUGGCCCAUGUUGACUCUACAAGGUGUUGAAAGCGUUCCACAGGGAUGCUGGCCCAUGUUGACUCUACAAGGUGUCUAAAGCGUUCCACAGGGAUGCUGGCCCAUGUUGACUCUACAAGGUGUCUAAAGCGUUCCACAG